rnacentral:rRNA from 1 species
CACGUAGGCACCAAGCGUUGUCCGGAUUUAUUGGGCGUAAAGAGCUCGUAGGCGGUUCGGUAAGUCGGGUGUGAAAACUUUGGGCUCAACCCAAAGCCUGCACUCGAUACUGCUGUGACUUGAGUCCGGUAGGGGAGUGGGGAAUUCCUGGUGUAGCGGUGGAAUGCGCAGAUAUCGAGAGGAACACCUGCGGCGAAGGCGGGUUGCUGGGCUGACACUGACGCUGAGGCGCGAAAGCCAGGGGAGCGAACGGG